UGGGGAAUAUUGCACAAUGGGCGCAAGCCUGAUGCAGCCAUGCCGCGUGUGUGAAGAAGGCCUUCGGGUUGUAAAGCACUUUCAGCGGGGAGGAAGGCGAUAAGGUUAAUAACCUUGUCGAUUGACGUUACCCGCAGAAGAAGCACCGGCUAACUCCGUGCCAGCAGCCGCGGUAAUACGGAGGGUGCAAGCGUUAAUCGGAAUUACUGGGCGUAAAGCGCACGCAGGCGGUCUGUCAAGUCGGAUGUGAAAUCCCCGGGCUCAACCUGGGAACUGCAGUCGAAACUAGCAGGCUGGAGUCGUGUAGAGGGGGGUAGAAUUCCAGGUGUAGCGGUGAAAUGCGUAGAGAUCUGGAGGAAUACCGGUGGCGAAGGCGGCCCCCUGGACAAAGACUGACGCUCAGGUGCGAAAGCGUGGGGAGCAAACAGG
rnacentral:rRNA from 1 species